rnacentral:rRNA from 1 species
AGCUCCAAUAGCGUAUAUUAAAGUUGUUGCCGUUAAAAAGCUCGUAGUCGAACUUCGGCGCCUGAUGGCCGGUCCGCCUUCUUGGUGUGUACUUGCUCAUCGGGCGCUUACCUCCUGGUGAACUCUGAUGUCCUUUAUUGGGUGUCAGAGCAAACCAGGACGUUUACUUUGAAAAAAUUAGAGUGUUCAAAGCAGGCCUACGCCCGAAUACAUUAGCAUGGAAUAAUAGAAUAGGACGCGCGUUCCCAUUUUGUUGGUUUCUGAGAUCGCCGUAAUGAUUAAUAGGGAUAGUUGGGGGCAUUUGUAUUCCGUCGUCAGAGGUGAAAUUCUUGGAUUGCCGGAAGACAAACUACUGCGAAAGCAUUUGCCAAGGAUGUUU